GAUGAACGCUGGCGGCGUGCCUAACACAUGCAAGUCGAGCGAAAAGACGAGGAGCUUUCUCCCCUGACGUUAGCGGCGGACGGGUGAGUAACACGUGGAUAACCUACCUAUAAGACUGGGAUAAUUUCGGGAAACAGGAGCUAAUACCGGAUAAUAUAUUGAACCGCAUGGUUCAAUAGUGAAAGACGGUUUUGCUGUCACUUAUAGAUGGAUCCGCGCCGCAUUAGCUAGUUGGUAAGGUAACGGCUUACCAAGGCGACGAUGCGUAGCCGACCUGAGAGGGUGAUCGGCCACACUGGAGCUGAGACACGGUCCAGACUCCUACGGGAGGCAGCAGUAGGGAAUCUUCCGCAAUGGGCGAAAGCCUGACGGAGCAACGCCGCGUGAGUGAUGAAGGUCUUCGGAUCGUAAAGCUCUGUUGUUAGGGAAGAACAAAUGUGUAAGUAACUAUGCACGUCUUGACGGUACCUAAACAGAAAGCCACGGCUAACUACGUG
rnacentral:rRNA from 1 species